rnacentral:rRNA from 1 species
UGGGGAAUAUUGGACAAUGGGCGAAAGCCUGAUCCAGCCAUGCCGCGUGUGUGAAGAAGGUCUUCGGAUUGUAAAGCACUUUAAGUUGGGAGGAAGGGCAUUAACCUAAUACGUUAGUGUUUUGACGUUACCGACAGAAUAAGCACCGGCUAACUCUGUGCCAGCAGCCGCGGUAAUACAGAGGGUGCAAGCGUUAAUCGGAAUUACUGGGCGUAAAGCGCGCGUAGGUGGUCUGUUAAGUUGGAUGUGAAAUCCCCGGGCUCAACCUGGGAACUGCAUUCAAAACUGACUGACUAGAGUAUGGUAGAGGGUGGUGGAAUUUCCUGUGUAGCGGUGAAAUGCGUAGAUAUAGGAAGGAACACCAGUGGCGAAGGCGACCACCUGGACUAAUACUGACACUGAGGUGCGAAAGCGUGGGUAGCAAACA